GACGAACGCUGGCGGCGUGCUUAACACAUACAAGUCGAACGUGAUUUUUGUGGAAAUUCUUUCGGGAAUGGACAUGAAAUGAAAGUGGCGAACGGGUGAGUAACACGUGAGCACCCUACCUUACACAGGGGGAUAGCCGUUGGAAACGACGAUUAAUACCGCAUGAGACCACAGAAUCGCAUGAUAUAGGGGUCAAAGAUUUAUCGGUGUAAGAAGGGCUCGCGUCUGAUUAGCUAGUUGGAAGGGUAAAGGCCUACCAAGGCGACGAUCAGUAGCCGGUCUGAGAGGAUGAACGGCCACAUUGGAACUGAGACACGGUCCAAACUCCUACGGGAGGCAGCAGUGGGGAAUAUUGCACAAUGGGGGGAACCCUGAUGCAGCGACGCCGCGUGAGCAAAGAAGGUUUUCGAAUCGUAAAGCUCUGUCCUAUGAGAAGAUAAUGACGGUAUCAUAGGAGGAAGCCCCGGCUAAAUACGUG
rnacentral:rRNA from 1 species